AUGAUCACCCAGGUGUCAACGUCACACUGCCUUGUCUAUUCCUCCUCUGACUUCAUCCAAACCCCAGCCCCUAGACUCUUCCAGUUUGUCUAUCGAACAUCCCCUUCUGUGUCCAGUGACGUCCCAUAACUCCUCAACCUUUACUCAGAACAGAACUCUAUCUUCUUGCCUUAACUGAAAACUGGAUGUCCCAUUUUCUCUGCAGCCCCUCUCAAGCAUGUGCUCAGGCUCACUAGGUGAUAAAACUGUCCCUCUCCUUCCACAUAGCCUUUAAUUAGCCUCAUUCCUGCACAACCCAUUGUCGCUCUGAACUUCAUGUUCUGGUCCUCUGCCAAAUUCCCACCACCUUCCCUCACAAAUCUACCACCAUUCUUGAUGGUUUACCUUAUUUACUAAAGUUUCAUGUCUUACUCCAAUACUGACCAUUUUGUUGGGCUACUUAAACAUUCAUGGGGUGAUUAUGACAACUUCUUAGUACUGUUACUUUCUCAUGGCUCCUUGGUAAAGGAAAGGCCAGUUCUUGGACUCUGAGUUUCUUGACAGCCUCCCUUCCUAUGACUUUUCCUCUUCAGCCAUUGCUCUCACUGUUGGACCAUGGACUUCAUCAUCAAAUCUGCAGUACUUCCUAAUUAUUGGUUUUAAAACUUUUUCUUGAAUACCAACAUCUCUGCUUCUCCUCAUUUGCUCAGCCACUCACUCUGCAGCAAUUCUUUGUCCUCUUUGAGGCUUCCAAUGCAUUGCCUAUAUUAUUUCAACUUCUCUCUGUUUUCAUGGUGCACCAUUUUGAUCACUCUUCUGACUUGUGCUCAACCCCUGGUCCAUCUUUUUUUCCCCACCACACUUAUAAUGAAAAACUUACACACUCCUCGAUUUCUAGGUGCCUGAAUCUGAGCAGCAGAAUAAUAAAGGGAAAAACAUCAUGCAACUGGGACUAAUUUUUAUUCUCAGUUUAUCAUCACGAAUAUGAAGCCCCAACCCUAAUCUCUCUCCCAUACCCCAAGAUGACUCUUUUAUUUCUGCCCUCCAAGUUUGUGCACUCACACCUCCAGAUGUUCAGAUGUUUACCUAGUACCGUUCCUCUCAGGAGUAGUUUCUUUCAUUUCUCUCUAUGAAAGGAAAAAAAAAAAAGCCAUCUUGCUAGAAUGCCUCCUAAAUUUACAGUAAAUUUACAAAUCUUAUAUCUACAUCUGUGUUCUUUUUCUCUAUUAAAAUGGAGGAGAUGGCCCUCUACCUAUCAAAGGUAAAUUGUUCCACUUGUCCUGUAGGACAAGCUCCCCUCACCUUUUCAAAUACUUCCCUUCUUCAAUUAUGCCCUGUCACUUUCCCUCAUCAACCAUUUUCCCCUCUAUAGUGAAUCAUUCCUUUAUUUAUUCAAACAUGCUCUAGAAUUUUAUGUCUGAAAGCCCCCUCCAAUCCCACUAAAAUGAACCAGCAGACUUUCUUCAGUACUCUCACACCAUGUAGUCACUACCUCAUUUCCUGAAUAUGAACCUCUCAGCUGCUGCUUUCCCACUUCCCCAUUACUUUUCAAAUUGAAUAUGGCAUUUCCCUCUACCACACUCAAGAUCAGAGUAACUUUUGUGGUGGCAAAUCAAUCAAAAACAUUUAAUUUUCUAUCUUCAUUCUAUUCAAACUUUUAGAAGCAUUUGACUGAGUUGAGAAACACUCACCUUUCUUGAUUUCACUGAUGCUGCCGUCUUUCUCUUACUUCCCUGGUCCCUCUGUUUCAGUUUCCUCUGCCAACUGACUAAUACACAUUGGGGCUCCAUUGGGUUUGCCAUUCUCUUGGGAAGUUUAUCCCUUUCAUGACUUUAAAUCUUUAAAUACCAUCCAUAUGCCUAUGCCCCAUAAGUUUCCAUCUCCAGCCUAGAUAAUCAACUUCAGACCCACGUCUUCCUCACAUCUACUGGGAUAAUUCAUGAACAUCUCGGACAAAUUUAUUUUUAAACUUCUUGAACACCAAAAUCUUUUUUAUUGCAGGGUCUGUGUCCAUGUUUACCCUUAUGCCAAGAUUGCCUGACCUUUCCUGCUUUAAUCUCUCUGAAUAGAACUGACCUCUAAUCCCUCAGAACUGACCCUACAUUGUCAAGGUCUUGGUUUAAAUGUCAACCUCUUGGAGAAAUGAUGAUAAUUUAUACUUAUUUACUCUUGAAAAGUGUAUGUACCUAAUUUGACAUCUUCCUCAUUGAAUCGUAAGUACCAUGAGGUCAAACAUGUCUCUCUUGCUCACUGUUGAGCCUCCAGUGCCUAGCACAGUUCCUGGCAGAUAGUAGUUGCUAAAUGAAGUCUGUACCAAAUUCAGUUUAAGAUAAGUAGAAUGUUUUAUUUCUUCUCUCCACUUUAUUGUAUAAUAUUAAGUAAAAAUAUUCCCUAUUAAAUACACACAUACACACACUCAAAAGAGAUUCCUUACAUUUUUCUUUGGAUAAUGGUAAUCUCUAAUUAUACAUGCUUAUACAUACCUUCAUUUAGGGUAAAAAAAAACUAUUUAGAAAUAACAUUUAAUGAACAAGCAGAUGUGGUGACACUGGGUCAUUAAAAUAAUUUUAUGCAUAUGCCCCACUUGCUAAGAACCCUAAGAUCCAUGGGAUACUUUUAUUAAUAGACAUGGAAGGAAAAAAGACCAUAAUUGUGGGGGUAAAAGCUUAGAAAGAGUGAUAAGAAUAAUAACCAAGUAAUUAUACUUCUCUUACCUGACACUUAGCGAGGACCCACUGUAUUUAUUCCAGAACGCUUUCUGGACUCUGCGACUGUAUGCCGACUGUGACAUGGUCUUUGAUCUCAUUCUAGUAGAGAGACCUGUAUAUCAACAGGUAAUUUUAAUGCAGUGUAGUAAGUGCUAUAGAAGAGUACUGUAUCAGGUGUUUUACUACAUAAAGAAGCCAGGGGAGGCCCCACAGACAAGACUUUUGGACUGCUGUUUAAGAAUGAGUAAGGGUUGGAAGGAAGAGAAGGUGGAAAAGAAAGAGGAGGGCAUUCCUAGGAGAGGAUUAGAGGCAUGGAGAUGGGAAACUGCGUGGCAUGUGACAAGACUGAUCACAGGGGUUAGAACAGAGGGGACUGGGGCGAGGGGAGUGGCGAAGAAUGGUACCUUUAUCCUACCUGCACUGACAUUUCUGUAAAAAAUGGUGAGGACUUGGUGUGCUCCAUCAGUAACUGAGAAGGUUGUAAAACAUGAAAACUUCAUUCCAUGCAAGUUAUCUCUGUUAUAUUUUACUUCAAUGGUAUGUUUUAAGAAUUCAUAGUCUCAAUAAUGUUAUUAUAAAACUGUUUAAAUAACCAGCCUGAGCAUUUCCUGCCAUUUUUCUUUAAGAACAGAGGUCAUUUAGUCCAUUCAAACAUGGUGGUCUUUUAUCUCUAUAUUUCUGCAUCUUUAGAUGAUUUAGGGCCUAAAUUUUAGGCUAUCAAUUUCAAGAUCGUUUAAAGAUUAAAUUGAAGAAGUUUGACUUAUUAGAGCGCCUGCCCAUGCCUAGUUUUUUAUAUAGUAGGGUGGGUGGUCAUCUGUGUUACAUGAUGCGGAGAUUCCAGGAAUGCCUUCUUGCUCAAUUUUUUGGCAACCAAUGAGUCACAGUGAUAAACCUGCCAUACUAGAAUUUCCUUAGAGUAAAAAUACUGUCCCUCCAAACUCAGUUUCUUUAUGUUUCUUUUCUCUUUCUUUUUAAGGUACAAAUGGUUUUCUAACUUUCACAUUCCAAGGACAUUCUUAAAUUGUCAUCUUACUUGACUUCUGCCAAAUUUGAGACUCUGAGUACAUCAUUUUUCUUCAGUUUUUUUUUUUUCAGUUUUUAUAUUCUCUAAAUAGUCUUGGAUUCCUUCAAACUCAUGCUUAGAAGAUAUAAACCAGGGUUUAGAAAAUGAUUUUUAUUUAAUUCCACUCAUUUUACUGUGUUGCCUCACUGCAAUCUUCUGUUUGAUGUCCCUAAGACAUAGUGGUUCCACUUAACUUUUUCAGGGGGUCCCCAUUCUCUCUUCUGCCUGGGUGCCAGAGGGCUUCUAUCCUGGCUGAAUGGGAUGGCAAAUGGGGGUCUGAGGUUUAAGGUCUCCUUCUUCCAAGUUUCAAUGAGUCUUUGUUUUUGUAGCCAUUUUUCCUCUUUUCGAACUUAGUUGCUCUGCCAUACAGCCUUCCCAGGUUUUAAUAGUGCAGGUCCAUUCUUUCCUCAUUGGCUUCUUCUCCUUUGACUCUUAAAUCCCAUUCAGCUUUCUUAAGUCAACAACCAGUUGCUGAACUUCUUUUUGUUUGUCAUAAUAUGAUCAGUAUCGUCUGCUGUUAUUGCCUCUUCCAUUCUUUGGAUCUUCUAAGACUUUAGUGGUUUUAUUCAUUUUCAUAGGGUUUUGGGAAGGAACUAAGAUUUAUGUCUGGCUUUAGGCUGCCGUGUUUAGUUGAAGAUCUUCAAGACUGUUUGUCUAAAAUACAAAGAUGAUCGUAUUAAUCCACUGUUUAAUUCUUGAAACAGCCUUGCCUGCAUACAGAGUAAAAUCUGACCUCCUACUGGAUGCUUUCCAAAACGCUUCUGGCUCUUGCCCCUUAUUUACUUAUAUUUCAGGAAUGUCCUUUGCCUCCUUCACUUCAGGUCCUCUUAUAGGAGUCAGUUCAGGUAUAACUGUGUUCUAAUAUUGUCUGCUUGAAAGGUACAGAGAAGUAGGAGAACGACAGUGAAUAAGCUUUUUAACACACAUUGAAUAAGCUGUUAAUACACAUUUUAACACACAUUGUAGGACAAAGAAAGACUUUGGAAACCUCUUGAUAUAUUAAUGAAAGCACGAGCCAAUGCAGAACUUGUAGAAGAGGAUUUUCAGGAGAGAAAAGAGGCCUAAGAUACUUAUCAGAACCUGUAAGAAGCUCUAGGAUCAGGUACAACAGAUAUAAUUUUGGAGACAAGAGAAGAUGCUAGCUUAAAAAUGAUUAUAAUCAUCUCAUUGUUUACUUACACUGCUUUAAGUUUGACCAGUUUUUGCUUCAGGUUUUUUGAAGCACUAAUGUUAGGUGCACAAGUAUUUAGGAUUGUCGUGUUAUUUGAUUAAAUAAAUUGUUACGAAAUGACCUCCUUUAUCCCUGGUGUUAUCCUUACUCAGAAAUAGACUUGUCUGAUUAAAUUAGGCACUCUAGCCUUUUUUCAUCACUGUCCACAUGGUAUAUCUCUAUCCAUCUUUACACUUUUAAAGUAUAUGUAUCUUUAUUUUUAUGCAUUUAAUUUUUAAAUUGAAAUAUAGUUGACAUACAAUGUUGUGUUUCAGGUAUACUACAUAUUAAUUUGAUAUUUGCAUAAAUAGUGAAAUUAUUGCCAUAAGUCAUAACCAUCUGUCCCCAUACAAAGUUACGACAGUAUCAUUGACUGUAUUCCUUAUGCUGUGUAUUGUAUCCCCAUGGCUUAUUUAUUUUAUAACUAGAAGUUUAUGCCUCUUAAUCUCUUUUACCUAUUUUGCCCCACUCCAAUACCCACCCCUCUGGCAAUCAACCAUUUGUUCUUUGUGUCUCUGAGUCUGUUUUUGUUUUGUAGGUUGGUUGGUUUUGUUUUUUAGAUUCCACGUAUAAGUGAAAUCAUAUGGUGUUGAUCUUACUCUCUGUGACAUUUCACUUAGCAAAAUACCCUCUAUAUCCAUCCAUGUUGUUGCAAAUGAUAAGAUUUCAUUUUACAUGCCUCUAAUUUACAUUUACAUUUAAAGUAAUUAUUGAUAGGUCUGUAUGUAUUACCAUUUUGUUAAUUGUUUUUGUAGUUCUUUUUUGUUUUUGUCGUCUUUGACUCUCUUCCCUUGUGACUUGAUGGCUAUCUCCAGUGUUGUGUUCAGCUUCCUUUCUCGUUUUCUGUAUACUUAUCUGUUAGAGGCUUUUGAUUUGUGCUUGCCUUGAGGUUCCUAUAUGACAACCUACAUGUAUGUGUGUGAUUGUUUGAAGUUGCUGAUCUCUUAAGUUUAAAAGCAUUCUAACAACCUUACAUUUUUACUUCCCCAUCCCGAUGUUUAAUGUUUUUUUCUAUCAUAUUUUACAUAUUUUUAUAUGUGUGUGUAUAUCCUUUAAUAACUUAUUGUGGAUAUUGAUAACUUUUGUCUUUUAACUCUACUAGCUUUAUUAGUGAUUGUUUUAAAGUUCCCAUUGUGUCGAAGUGGAGAUGAAUCUGACUAGUGUCCAUGAGGAUGCAGGUCCCUGGCCUCGAUAAGCGGUUCAGGGAUCGGCGUUGCCAUGAACUGUGGUGUAGGUCACAGGUGAGGCCUAGAUACUGAGUUGCUGUGGCUGUGGCCUAGGUUGGCAGCUGAAGCUCCAAUUUGACUCCUAGUCUGGGAAAUUCCAU
rnacentral:lncRNA from 1 species